AUAAGCUAGCUGCUACAGCAAAAAACAAUAUUCCUCUAUUAAUACCCCCUAAAACAUUUUAAUAUGUUUAAACAAAUCAUUUUUCUCCCUAAGUAUGGGCGACAGAAAAGGAUCUCGCCGCGCGAUAGAAAAAGUACCGCAAGGGAACACUGAAAGAGAAGUGAAAUAAACCAGUUAAGUUUUAAAAAGCAGAGAUUUGAGCUCGUACCUUUUGCAUAAUGGUUUAGCUAGUAAAUUUCAAGCAAAGAGCACUUUAGUUUGAUGCCCCGAAACUAGGUGAGCUACUCCAAGACAGCCUAAUGUAGGGCGAACCCGUCUCUGUGGCAAAAGAGUGGGAUGAGCUUCGAGUAGCAGUGACAGGCCUAUCGAACCUAGUUAUAGCUGGUUGCCUGAGAAAUGAAUAGAAGUUCAGCUUCUCAAAUUCUUUCUUCGUUUAUUUAUUUCGGAUAACAAAAGAAGUUGAGAGAGUUAGUUAGAGGGGGUACAGCCCCUUUAACAUAAGAUACAACUUUAGCAGGUGGAUAAAGAUCAUAUGUGUGUUGUAAAGGUAGAAUGUUUUGGUGGGCCUGAAAGCAGCCACCCUUAUGGAAUGCGUUAUAGCUCGUAUAUAUGUUUUACCCUAAAUUCUGACUACCUAAAUCUUAAUCCCCUAAUUUUAUCAGGCCGUCCCAUGCGACCAUGGGAGUGAUCAUGCUAAUAUGAGUAAUAAGAGGGUGUCUAAUCGCCUCUCUCCCUGCACAAGUGUAACUCGGAUUGGACUUACCGCCGAACUUUAACGACCCCAAACGAGGAGGGUAUUGAAUAACAAACCCGCCAACUAGAAAAUCAUUCAAUAGAAUAACCGUUAAACUCACACUGGUGUGCUUUUAAGGAAAGACUUAAAGAAAAAGAAGGAACUCGGCAAACAUUUAUGAAGCCUCGCCUGUUUCCCAAAAACUUCGCCUCUUGCCUUCCCCCGAAUAAGAGGUCCAGCCUGCCCAAUGACCAUGUGUUUAACGGCCGCGGUAUUUUAACCGUGCGAAGGUAGCGUAAUCACUCGUCUUUUAAAUAAAGACCCGUAUGAACGGUAAAACGAGGGCUUAGCUGUCUCCUUUUUCAUGUCAAUGAAAUUGAUCUUCCCGUGCAAAAGCGGGAAUUACUUCAUAAGACGAGAAGACCCUGUGAAGCUUUAGACACCAAGACAGAUCUGGUUAAGACCCCCUAAUAAAGAAUUAAACUGCUAAACCCUGUCUUACGUCUUCGGUUGGGGUGACCGCGGGGAAUUACAUAACCCCCGCGUGGAAUAGGAGCAUAAAAUUAAUUUUGUUCCCAGAACUAAGAGCCUCCACUCUAAUAAGCAGAAUCUCUGGCCCUUCAUGAUCCGGCAAUGCCGAUUAACGAACCAAGUUACUCCAGGGAUAACAGCGCCAUCCUCUUUCAGAGUCCCCAUCGACAAGAGGGUUUACGACCUCGAUGUUGGAUCAGGACAUCCUAAUGGUGCAGCCGCUAUUAAGGGUUCGUUUGUUCAACGAUUAAUAGUCCUACGUGAUCUGAGUUCAGACCGGAGCAAUCCAGGUCAGUUUCUAUCUAUGGUUUAAUCUUUUCUAGUACGAAAGGACCGAAAAGAAAAGGCCCAUGUUUUAAGCAUGCCUUACUCUUACCUGCUGAAGACAACUAAAAUAGAUAAGAGAAAAUAUUU
rnacentral:rRNA from 1 species